GUGGUGGCCAGCAUCUGUAAUCCCAGAUACUUGGGAGGCUGAGGUGGAAGGAUCGCUUGAGCUGGGAGGUUGAGGCUGCAGUGAGCUGUGAUUGCACCACUGCAUUGUAGCCUGGGUGACACAGCGAGACCCUGUCUCAAAAAACAAAAACAAAAACAAAACCCAAAAAACAAAAAACAAGCCAACAAAUAACAGUUUUUUUUUUGUUUUUUCAAACAGGAUUUUGUGAAUAGAGACUAUAAAGCACUCCUGUAUCCUUGGCCCCAAAGAGGGCUCUCCAGACAGAAAGUUGCCUGCAUGUCCCGAACCAUGGUGAAAGAUAAGCAGAUGGGAAAAGAGAGCCCAGAAAUCUGCAAUGUGGGAUAUCCUGAAGAGAGCUCAGACUUCUGGUUCAGCAAUUGAUCUGAGGCCA
rnacentral:lncRNA from 1 species